rnacentral:rRNA from 1 species
GACGAACGCUGGCGGCGUGCCUAAUACAUGCAAGUUGAGCGAUGAAGCUUGGUGCUUGCACCAAUUUGAAGAGCAGCGAACGGGUGAGUAACGCGUGGGGAAUCUGCCUUUGAGCGGGGGACAACAUUUGGAAACGAAUGCUAAUACCGCAUAAUAACUUUAAACAUAAGUUUUAAGUUUGAAAGAUGCAAUUGCAUCACUCAAAGAUGAUCCCGCGUUGUAUUAGCUAGUUGGUGAGGUAAAGGCUCACCAAGGCGAUGAUACAUAGCCGACCUGAGAGGGUGAUCGGCCACAUUGGGACUGAGACACGGCCCAAACUCCUACGGGAGGCAGCAGUAGGGAAUCUUCGGCAAUGGACGAAAGUCUGACCGAGCAACGCCGCGUGAGUGAAGAAGGGUGUCGGAUCGUAAAACUCUGUUGGUAGAGAAGAACGUUGGUGAGAGUGGAAAGCUCAUCAAGUGACGGUAACUACACAGAAAGGGACGGCUAACUACGUG